AUUAAAUGGAAAAAAAAAAUUAAAUUCAAUAUUUAUUUAAUUCAAUCCAGUUCAACUGUUUGAACCUUUGACCUGUGACUAAGAGGCCUUUUCCAUUUUGAAGUUCAUGUGGGGUUGAAACCUUCGAUAUAAUACUGAAGUAUAAGCUAUGGGUUAGACUUAGAUAUGAUCUAUCUAGGCCUAUAUGCUGGACAUGUAAUUGGCUGAGGAUGUGUGCAAUGGCUUUCUUGAGUUCCGUAAAGGAAUAAUAAUUUAUCAUGAGAGAUUGUGGUGUGCUAACCAUUUGAAGGCUUUGCUUGAGUUUCUUAGUCCCUUGAUGUGAUCUUGGAUCUUUUUAAAGUCUGUAUUUGUUUUCUCAAAGUAGCCUGACCUUUUUUUGGAGCAGGAUAUAAAGAAUAAAAGAACUUAACUUUGAAUAGAUUUCUAUAUGAAUAUUUAAAUUCUUUGUAUCUGUGAUGCAGGAACAAGCUAGGAAAGCAUUA
rnacentral:misc_RNA from 1 species